rnacentral:rRNA from 1 species
GACGAACGCUGGCGGCGUGCUUAACACAUGCAAGUCGAACGGGUCUGCCCUGUUUUUUGCGGGGUGGGUCAGUGGCGAACGGGUGAGUAACACGUGAGUAACCUGCCCCUCACUUCUGGAUAACCGCUUGAGAGGGUGGCUAAUACGGGGUGUUCUGGCUGUGCCGCAUGGUGUGGCUGGGAAAGAUUCACUUUUGUGGUGUUUUGGUGGGGGAUGGGCUCGCGGCCUAUCAGCUUGUUGGUGGGGUGAUGGCCUGCCAAGGCUUUGACGGGUAGCCGGCCUGAGAGGGUGGGCGGUCACACUGGGACUGAGAUACGGCCCAGACUCCUGCGGGAGGCAGCAGUGGGGGGUAUUGCACAAUGGGCGGAAGCCUGAUGCAGCGACGUCGCGUGAGGGAUGGAGGCCUUCGGGUUGUGAACCUCUUUCGCCGGUGAAGAAGGUCCUGCUCUUUGUGGUGGGGUUGACGGUAGCCGGGUUAUGAAGCGCCGGCUAACUACGUG